rnacentral:rRNA from 1 species
GACGAACGCUGGCGGCGUGCUUAACACAUGCAAGUCGAACGGAAAGGCCCUGCUUUUGUGGGGUGCUCGAGUGGCGAACGGGUGAGUAACACGUGAGUAACCUGCCCUUGACUUUGGGAUAACUUCAGGAAACUGGGGCUAAUACCGGAUAGGAGCUCCUGCUGCAUGGUGGGGGUUGGAAAGUUUCGGCGGUUGGGGAUGGACUCGCGGCUUAUCAGCUUGUUGGUGGGGUAGUGGCUUACCAAGGCUUUGACGGGUAGCCGGCCUGAGAGGGUGACCGGCCACAUUGGGACUGAGAUGCGGCCCAGACUCCUACGGGAGGCAGCAGUGGGGAAUAUUGCACAAUGGGCGGAAGCCUGAUGCAGCAACGCCGCGUGCGGGAUGACGGCCUUCGGGUGGUAAACCGCUUUCGCCUGUGACGAAGCGUGAGUGACGGUAAUGGGUAAAGAAGCACCGGCUAACUACGU